rnacentral:piRNA from 1 species
UACUGGAGACCAACCCUUUCCCACCGAGGA